GUGAUCGUUGCAUGAGUGUUUCGUGCGUGUAAAGCGUGUGUGGGUGUCACGGGGUGGCCACCUGUCUAGCGAGGAUAAAAAAUAAAACGGAUAGCCGAUCAAAAAUAUUCGACGAACGGAAGACAUGCAAUUUGCAAUGAACAGAAUUGGAGUAUGGGCAAAGAAUACAUUAUUACCGAUUAUUAAUAAAUCAUUGAAGUUUCAUACCGAUCGAAAUUCAGAGAAAAUCUGUGUUCCCUUGAGAUCUUUUUUGGAUCAAUUGAAAUUGAAAAGUGAAGACUGCUGGCUCGACGUACGUACACAACGAAAUCCAAAGAAGAAUUAUUCGAUUCGGUGGCCGCAGAAAAAUUGCAAUUUCGGAGUACUUUGCAAUCGGCCAAUACCGAAAAUAACGCGAACAAUGGCACCGGAAAUACCGAAGAAAACAUUACCGAUCGAAACGAACAAAAUACAUUUGAGAGUUUCAAAAAAGAAAAAAGACCCCGAAAGAAUGGGAAGAUCACGAAACGAAAAGUGACCUUUGCCGAUAGCAAAAGCAUGAAAGAGGACAAAUAUAAAAAAUAAUAUAUAACAAUAGUUUUAACAUUUUAUAUUUCGAUAAUCAGUGAAAUUCAAUUACGUACAUAUUGUAAAGGAAGGAAAAUCUUUGUAAAAAGAAAAAAGAAAAAUACUACUGUAUCAUCUUUAAAAUGUAACGAUUCAUUAU